rnacentral:rRNA from 1 species
AGAGUUUGAUUAUGGCUCAGGAUGAACGCUAGCGACAGGCUUAACACAUGCAAGUCGAGGGGCAGCAUAAAAGUAGCAAUACUUGGUGGCGACCGGCGCACGGGUGAGUAACGCGUAUGCAACCUACCUAUCAGGAGGGGAAUAACCCGGCGAAAGUCGGACUAAUACCGCAUAAAACAGGGGCACCGCAUGGUGAUAUUUGUUAAAGAAAUUCGCUGAUAGAUGGGCAUGCGUUCCAUUAGGUAGUUGGUGAGGUAACGGCUCACCAAGCCGACGAUGGAUAGGGGAACUGAGAGGUUGGUCCCCCACACUGGUACUGAGACACGGACCAGACUCCUACGGGAGGCAGCAGUGAGGAAUAUUGGUCAAUGGGCGGGAGCCUGAACCAGCCAAGUCGCGUGAAAGGAAGAAGGAUCUAUGGUUCGUAAACUUCUUUUGCAGGGGAAUAAAGUGCAGGACGUGUCCUGUUUUGUAUGUACCCUGAGAAUAAGGAUCGGCUAACUCCGUGCCAGCAGCCGC